rnacentral:lncRNA from 1 species
AACUUUGUAACUAGUUUAAUUAAAAUCUAAAUUCAAACAAAUUAAAAUAAAUUCUUGAGAAAUAAUAUAAAAUCUCAAUAAUACAAAUACGUAGAUUAUAACAAUGAAAUCCAGGAACGAAAUUUCACAAUAGAAACUACCUAAAGGCCAAAGAAUUGUGCAUUUAGAAGAACAUAAUAUGGUGUAAAGCUUAAAUUUUGGGCACUUAAAUAUAUGUUUUUUUCUUUUCAAUUACAAUAACUUGCAUGAAAAUUCAAUUAGGUUUGUUCUGGUCUCCAAGAAUUUUUCUUUGUUUGGUUACUGAUUAAUUUAUGUGGUGGGUGUCACAUCCCGGCCCGGGGUCCACCACAUCUCGGGC